rnacentral:rRNA from 1 species
UACGAAGGGGCUAGCGUUGCUCGGAAUCACUGGGCGUAAAGCGCACGUAGGCGGAUUGCUAAGUCAGGGGUGAAAUCCUGGAGCUCAACUCCAGAACUGCCUUUGAUACUGGCGAUCUUGAGUCCGGGAGAGGUGAGUGGAACUGCGAAGUGUAGAGGUGAAAUUGUAGAUAUUCGCAAGAACACCAGUGGCGAAGGCGGCUCACUGGCCCGGUACUGACGCUGAG